rnacentral:tRNA from 1 species
GGAGAGGUGGCUCAGUGGUUAAGAGCACUUGAUGCUCUUGCAGAAGACCUGGGUUUGGUUCCUAGCCUCUACA